rnacentral:rRNA from 1 species
UACAGAGGGUGCGAGCGUUAAUCGGAAUUACUGGGCGUAAAGGGUGCGUAGGCGGCGCGGUAAGUCGGGUGUGAAAUCUCGGAGCUUAACUCCGAAACUGCAUUCGAUACUGCCGUGCUUGAGGACUGGAGAGGAGACUGGAAUUUACGGUGUAGCGGUGAAACGCGUAGAUAUCGUAAGGAAGACCAGUGGCGAAGGCGGGUCUCUGGACAGUUCCUGACGCUGAGGCACGAAGGUCAGGGGAGCAAACGGG